rnacentral:rRNA from 1 species
GAUGAACGCUGGCGGCGUGCCUAAUACAUGCAAGUCGAACGCGCAGCGAGAGGUGCUUGCACCUUUCAAGCGAGUGGCGAACGGGUGAGUAACACGUGGAUAACCUGCCUCAAGGCUGGGGAUAACAUUUGGAAACAGAUGCUAAUACCGAAUAAAACUUAGUAUCGCAUGAUAUAAAGUUAAAAGGCGCUACGGCGUCACCUAGAGAUGGAUCCGCGGUGCAUUAGCUAGUUGGUGGGGUAAAGGCUUACCAAGACAAUGAUGCAUAGCCGAGUUGGGAGACUGAUCGGCCACAUUGGGACUGAGACACGGCCCAAACUCCUACGGGAGGCUGCAGUAGGGAAUCUUCCACAAUGGGCGCAAGCCUGAUGGAGCAACGCCGCGUGUGUGAUGAAGGCUUUCGGGUCGUAAAGCACUGUUGUAUGGGAAGAAAUGCUAAAAUAGGGAAUGAUUUUAGUUUGACGGUACCAUACCAGAAAGGGACGGCUAAAUACGUGCCAGCAGCCGCAGUAAAAC